GAUGAACGCUGGCGGCGUGCCUAAUACAUGCAAGUCGAGCGAACAGACGAGAGUGCUUGCACUCUCUGACGUUAGCGGCGGCCGGGUGAGUAACACGUGGGUAACCUACCUAUAAGACUGGGAUAACUUCGGGAAACCGGAGCUAAUACCGGAUAAUAUUUAGCUUCGCAUGAAGCAAUAGUGAAAGACGGUUCUGCUGUCACUUAUAGAUGGACCCGCGGUGUAUUAGCUAGUUGGUGAGGUAACGGCUCACCAAGGCAACGAUACAUAGCCGACCUGAGAGGGUGAUCGGCCACACUGGGACUGAGACACGGCCCAGACUCCUACGGGAGGCAGCAGUAGGGAAUCUUCCGCAAUGGACGGAAGUCUGACGGAGCAAUGCCGCGUGAGUGAAGAAGGUUUUCGGAUCGUAAAACUCUGUUGUAAGGGAAGAACAAGUACGUUAGUAACUGAACGUACCUUGACGGUACCUUACCAGAAAGCCACGGCUAACUACGUG
rnacentral:rRNA from 1 species